CCUACGGGUGGCUGCAGUGAGGAAUAUUGGUCAAUGGGCGUAAGUCUGAACCAGCCAAGCCGCGUGCGGGAAGAAGGUUCUAUGGAUUGUAAACCUCUUUUAUAAGGGAAUAAAGUGUGGGACGUGUCUUGUUUUGUAAGUACCUUAUGAAUAAGGAUCGGCUAACUCCGUGCCAGCAGCCGCGGUAAUACGGAGGAUUCAAGCGUUAUCCGGAUUUAUUGGGUUUAAAGGGUGCGUAGGCGGUCUUUUAAGUCAGAGGUGAAAGUCCGAGGCUCAACCUUGGAAUUGCCGUUGAAACUGUUCGGCUUGAGAGUAUUUGAGGCAGGCGGAAUGUGUGGUGUAGCGGUGAAAUGCUUAGAGAUCACACAGAACCCCGAUUGCGAAGGCAGCUUGCCAAGCCAUUACUGACGCUGAUGCACGAAAGCGUGGGGAGCAAACAGGAUUAGAUACCCGUGUAGUC
rnacentral:rRNA from 1 species